CNCCUUUGACGUUAGCGGCGGACGGGUGAGUAACACGUGGGUAACCUACCUAUAAGACUGGGAUAACUUCGGGAAACCGGAGCUAAUACCGGAUAAUAUUUCGAACCGCAUGGUUCGAUAGUGAAAGGUGGUUUUGCUACCACUUAUAGAUGGACCCGCGCCGUAUUAGCUAGUUGGUAAGGUAACGGCUUACCAAGGCGACGAUACGUAGCCGACCUGAGAGGGUGAUCGGCCACACUGGAACUGAGACACGGUCCAGACUCCUACGGGAGGCAGCAGCU
rnacentral:rRNA from 1 species